GAUGAACGCUGGCGGCGUGCUUAACACAUGCAAGUCGAACGAAGCAUUUUAACUUGAUUUCUUCGGAAUGAUUGUUACUUUGACUGAGUGGCGGACGGGUGAGUAACGCGUGGGUAACCUGCCUCAUACAGGGGGAUAACAGUUAGAAAUGACUGCUAAUACCGCAUAAGCGCACGGUAUCGCAUGAUACAGUGUGAAAAACUCCGGUGGUAUGAGAUGGACCCGCGUCUGAUUAGCUAGUUGGUGAGGUAACGGCCCACCAAGGCGACGAUCAGUAGCCGACCUGGGAGGGUGACCGGCCACAUUGGGACUGAGACACGGCCCAAACUCCUACGGGAGGCAGCAGUGGGGAAUAUUGCACAAUGGGCGAAAGCCUGAUGCAGCGACGCCGCGUGAACGAAGAAGUAUUUCGGUAUGUAAAGUUCUAUCAGCAGGGAAGAUAAUGACGGUACCUGACUAAGAAGCACCGGCUAAAUACGUGCCAGCAGCCGCCGUAAUAC
rnacentral:rRNA from 1 species